UACAGUCGAAACCGUAUUUAUGUAAUAUCUUUGGUUUAAGGGUUAACCUAACCCCACAUCAGCUGUAAACAACAACAACAACAAUGUUGUUGUAGUACUAAUUGUACCAAGUAAAAACGCUCAUGACAACAACGUAAAACUGUGAAGCUAAUUGUGUCUAGCUAACCUUUACGAAUUAGCUAGACCUUGGUCACUGCUGGCUGUACAUGCCAAAAUGUAUUUUGUGUUGUUAAACUAGCUAUAGAUGCACUGUCGUAUGUUUGCAAGCCGUAUGCUAUUUUUCACUAGCCUGCUGAGGAGAGGACUCUGUGUGAAACCAUUCUGGAACCAUCGUUACCAAAACGCUUCGGUGGUAUUACUGAAUGAGGUUGUAUUCAUGACUGCACUGUCAGACUUGGAGCCUGCUAAAAAGAGACAGCGGGUUGAAUUUGGCCUCCAAGCACCUGUCGGCUCAAGGAGCCGUCUUUCAUUGGCAUUUAAAGCAAGUUCCAAAGAGGCAAGUCUACACGCAAUGGAGGGGCAGGAGCAUAGUGCCAAAGCAACAUCUCUUAGUCAGAAAAACAAUCCCAAGUCCCAACAGAAUAACCCUGAUAAGUGGCUGUUGGAACUUCCCCAAAGCACCACAAGCCCAGCUUCUGACAUGUGUGAAGCUGCUGAACAACAACUGGAGGAUGUAGAGAUGGUGAGUCCAGACAGCUCCGAGUCUGGCUGCAGUCACAAGAUCCAGUUUAUGGAGACCGAGGCCCAGACCCACAGUUCAGACUCUGAGGAACCUGUUGUCUCUAGUAUUAUAGACCUGGAGGAUGAAGAGACAGCAGCCUUAACACCAUCUGACAGCUUAAAGGAUCACAAACUAGUCUUGCAAAUCACCACAGAUCACAGGCCGGUCUCGGAAGUGCCCACGGAUCACAAGCCGGUCUCGGAAGUGCCCACGGAUCACAAGCCGGUCUCGGAAGUGCCCACGGAUCACAAGCCGGUCUCGGAAGUGCCCACGGAUCACAAGCCGGUCUCGGAAGUGCCCACGGAUCACAAGCCGGUCUCGGAAGUGCCCACGGAUCACAAGCCGGUCUCGGAAGUGCCCACGGAUCACAAGCCGGUCUCGGAAGUGCCCACGGAUCACAAGCCGGUCUCGGAAGUGCCCACGGAUCACAAGCCGGUCUCGGAAGUGCCCACGGAUCACAAGCCGGUCUCGGAAGUGCCCACGGAUCACAAGCCGGUCUCGGAAGUGCCCACGGAUCACAAGCCGGUCUCGGAAGUGCCCACGGAUCACAAGCCGGUCUCGGAAGUGCCCACGGAUCACAAGCCGGUCUCGGAAGUGCCCAAGGAUCACAAGCCGGUCUCGGAAGUGCCCAAGGAUCACAAGCCGGUCUCGGAAGUGCCCACGGAUCACAAGCCGGUCUCGGAAGUGCCCACGGAUCACAAGCCGGUCUCGAACGUGCCCACAGAUCCUAAAGGGAACAGUGGUGAGCAAAUGGAGGAGACCGUGAGCCAGAUCAACAGGGACAAGCGGCAGGACACAGAAAGAUCCUCCUCCAAGGGCCAAGGAAAAAUAACAGACUUCUUCGCCCCAUCCACAAGUGCCCAAGCUCCUUCGGCGAAACAACGCAGAGACCGAGAGGACGGCCCUCCACCGUCGCCACCGUACGAUUCCAAGUGGCUGGGAAGCCCCAUCAGUGAUCUGAGGAGAAUGCCACAGUGUGGUCAACCACUCCCACCACUGAAGAAUAUUCGUGACCAUCACACUGUCAUGAUCAGGACAGACCUCCUUCAAACUGGCAAAGUUCCUGUUCCAUAUCCCAACAAGUUCAGAGACACCUGGGACGAGGUCCAUGUGAAAAUGCCCUGUUCAAAGAGCAGCCUAUUCCCUGUAGGAAAUCAGGAACUGCAGGGGCGGUGGGAACUCAUCCAGAAAGCUUUAAACAGAGAAUUUUGCAGUUCCCAUGAUGUGAAGAAUGCCAUAUUGAAGUACAAUGUUGCUCAUGCCAAGAGAUGGGACUUCACAGCUCUUCAUUUGUUCUGCAACAAGGAUCUGCAGCCCGACGACGUUCAUCAUCUGUUUAGGUCUCUGCUGCCUGAAAUGGUCCAAUUAGCACUGAGUGUGUCUGAGCUGUGCAACAAGCCCAUCCCUCUGCUGAAGGAAGGGGUGAACCACUCCAUCACCCUGUCUCAGAUGCAGGUGGCUUCCCUAUUGGCCAAUGCCUUCUUCUGUACCUUUCCCCGACGCAACUCCAGGAAGUCAGAAUAUUUCAACUACCCUGACAUCAACUUCUACAGGCUGUUUGAGGGCUCUUCCCCAAAGAAGAGGGAGAAACUGAAAACGCUUUUGUGCUAUUUUAGAAGUGUAAUCGAGCAAAAACCUACUGGACUUGUGACGUACACAAGGAAGUGUUUGGAUCGGCCUCCAAAUUGGAAAAACUCCCAGAAUCAGCUCACCAAGCUUCACAUAACAUGUGUAGGAACCAUAGAAGACGACGGACACGGCAUGCUGCAGGUGGACUUUGCCAACCGGUUUGUGGGCGGAGGGGUCACCGGAUCGGGUCUGGUUCAGGAAGAGAUUCGCUUCCUGAUUAACCCUGAACUCAUCGUCUCUCGCCUCUUCACUGAAGCCCUGCUGCAGAAUGAGUGUCUCGUCGUCACAGGUACUGAGCAGUACAGUACGUACACUGGCUACGCAGACAGCUACCUGUGGGACGGCAAACAUCAGGACAAGACCCCGAGAGACACCUGGCAGAGGAAGUGCACAGAGAUCGUAGCGAUGGACGCUCUGAAGUUCAGGAACUUCCUCGAACAGUUUCACCCUGAGAAAAUGAACAGAGAACUGAAUAAGGCAUACUGUGGCUUUUCCCGCCCAGGGGAGAGGAGUCAGGAUCUCUCUGCGGUUGCUACAGGAAACUGGGGCUGCGGUGUGUUCGGUGGAGACGCUAGGUUUAAGGCUCUGCUCCAGAUUCUGGCAGCCUCUGAGGCAGGCCGAGACGUGGCCUAUUUCACCUUUGGUGACAGCGCCCUGAUGAAAGACGUACACGACAUGCACUACUUCCUCACACAGAGACACGUCAGCGUCGGGGCUCUGUACAGUUUGCUGGGUCAGUACUACAGCUCAGUGUGUCAGAGCUGCUUCACCCGCCAUCCCGACAUCAGCCUCUACUCCUUCAUCUACCAGGAGGCCAGCUCUGUCUCCCCCUAGACCAGAAACACACACGCAGGUCGGCUCCCCCUAGAAGAUCGGAGACGCCACGUCACGCAGCUCUAUCUCCCCCUAGACCAGAAACACACACGCAGGUCGGCUCCCCCUAGAAGAUCGGAGACGCCACGUCACGCAGCUCUAUCUCCCCUAGACCAGAAACACACACACAGGUCGGCUCCGCCUAGAAGGCCGUAGAUGCCCCCCCCCCCGGACACAAAACAAGCGC